rnacentral:rRNA from 1 species
AUCAUGGCUCAGAUUGAACGCUGGCGGCACGGCUUAACACAUGCAAGUCGAGCGGAGACUUCGGUCUUAGCGGCGGAACGGGUGAGUAAUACCUAGGAAUCUGCCUAUUAGUGGGGGAUAACGGCUCGAAAGGGUCGCUAAUACCGCAUACGUCCUACGGGAGAAAGUGGGGGAUCUUCGGACCUCACGCUAAUAGAUGAGCCUAGGCCGGAUUAGCUAGUUGGUAGGGUAAAGGCCUACCAAGGCGACGAUCCGUAGCUGGUCUGAGAGGAUGAUCAGCCACACUGGAACUGAGACACGGUCCAGACUCCUACGGGAGGCAGCAGUGGGGAAUAUUGGACAAUGGGGGCAACCCUGAUCCAGCCAUGCCGCGUGUGUGAAGAAGGCCUUCGGGUUGUAAAGCACUUUAAGCGAGGAGGAAGGUCUUUGAACUAAUAUUUCAAAGAAUUGACGUUACUCGCAGAAUAAGCACCGGCUAACUCUGUG